rnacentral:sRNA from 1 species
UUAUUAAUAUCAAGCACCUUUAACGAAUGAGAGCAAAGAAUUCCAGCAAAUUCAAACUUCUUGCAACUGCAGUUUUACUUCUGGUGCGAAAAAUUUGACAACAUGCUCAUGAUGCUUGCCAUUAACUUUUAUUUUAUAAACCUUCUCUGCAUCGCUACUAGCACAAAAGAAUAUGUCGCAAUUCAAUGUCUGUAGCACUUGAUCCUGGAAAAUCUUGAACAUUGCUGCAGUAUAAACUCUUGAUGCAUGCCUCAAUAUAUUUAGUUCUGCCUUCAAUUUGGGAGUAGUUUGGGUUGCUUUGAAGUCACAUGCUUUCACUCCUCUGGGUACUACUCAUGUCAGCGGAAAAAGUAUUUCUUCCAUACACUAGUGCCCAAUGCUCUCUUUUGUCAAAUAGUCUUUCGAGCCAUUUAUU